GAUGAACGCUGGCGGCGUGCCUAAUACAUGCAAGUCGAGCGAACGGACGAGAAGCUUGCUUUUCUGAUGUUAGCGGCGGACGGGUGAGUAACACGUGGAUAACCUACCUAUAAGACUGGGAUAACUUCGGGAAACCGGAGCUAAUACCGGAUAAUAUUUUGAACCGCAUGGUUCAAAAGUGAAAGACGGUCUUGCUGUCACUUAUAGAUGGAUCCGCGCUGCAUUAGCUAGUUGGUAAGGUAACGGCUUACCAAGGCAACGAUGCAUAGCCGACCUGAGAGGGUGAUCGGCCACACUGGGACUGAGACACGGUCCAGACUCCUACGGGAGGCAGCAGUAGGGAAUCUUCCGCAAUGGGCGAAAGCCUGACAGAGCAACGCCGCGUGAGUGAUGAAGGUCUUCGGAUCUUAAAACUCUGUUAUUAGGGAAGAACAUAUGUGUAAGUAACUGUGCACAUCUUGACGGUACCUAAUCAGAAAGCCACGGCUAACUACGUGC
rnacentral:rRNA from 1 species